AUAAACACCGUCUUUGAAAUUGAAGCAAUUUAAUUAAUUUCUUUUUCCCUCAUGAAGUCGUAUACCCUAGCCCUCGUCUGAGUUGCUUCCUUUGUCCCUCUUCGUCUUAGUCGAUUGUCUCCAUAGGCUUUCCAGCACCUCUUUGUACUACCUUUUCUCCCUCUUCGUCAUAAUCGAUCAUCGUGAAGGCUUUCCAGCACCUCUGUGGUUCUCGCGCGUGGUUGACUACCGUCUUCACUCCUCGUCUUCGAUCAAGUGAUGGUGAACCCUAAUCGUAGUAUCCUGUGAGCGUUCCUAUUUGGUUUGUCUCCUCUUCUUCGAUUUGUCAACAUCACAGUAAGCCAAUGGUUCGAUCUUGCAUUUUAAUCUCUUUUCGAUUUGUCUCACCUCGCCGUCAUUGGGUCACUACUUACUAUGGAGGCCAUGUAAGUAGUUCUUUCUCUCUACUCAAUUGCGACAUUCAUAUGGAUAUUAUUCAUUCCGCAACAUACCUUUUGUAUAUUAAUUAUAACUUUUAGAAGUUUUUGUACUCAGCAUUGGGUAAAAUAUUCAUUCAUUUUCUUUCAAUAAGAUAUUCAUUUUGCAAAUUAAAGUGGUUCACGAACCUUACCUGAGGCUCUCCUUCGGUGCUCUUGAAAACAUGGGAAAACAGAGCACACAAUUCUCUGCCCUCAACUACAUCCACCUUGCACUUGAUUUGGAUGCUAUUUUUUUUAUCAGCCAGAAAUGCUUGGAGAGCCCAUAGCAACUCUGCGUUUGCUGCACUAUGAAGGUUUGGCUCACUGCAGCAAGUUGUGUAACCAAGGAUAUCAAAGAGCUUGGGUUUAGGAGAAAAUAUCUGGUUCAGGGAAGCCACGGGUUCAAAAUCAGACUACUGGUUUUAUUGCAGUCAACAACUUGUUUUGUGUGGUGUGGUGACACGCAUAUAUGAUGCAGAGUUGGAGAAAAUUGAAGGGAGUGGGAAACUACUAUUAUUUUUAUUUCUUUUUCACUUCCUCUUGUAUUCAAUGAAAAUAUAUACGUUUUCAUUUUAUUAAAUUUUUUGAAAAAAAUUGUUAUUAAUUUUAAAAAGUUACCUUUUAAAUUAUUCUUAAAUUAAUUAUUAUAAAAAUCAUCAUCUUAAUGACACACACAUUACCUUUUUAAUAGUAAUAGAAUUAAUUGUGAUAGAAUUAUCUUUUGAAUUUAAAUUAAUGACAACACAAGUUAUUCUUUUUAAUUGUAACCAAA